CGCGUAGGUGGUUGUGUAAGUCGGAUGUGAAAUCCCCAGGCUUAACUUGGGAACCGCAUCUGAUACUGCAUGACUAGAGUACUGCAGAGGGAAACGGAAUUCCUGGUGUAGAGGUGAAAUUCGUAGAUAUCAGGAGGAACACCGGUGGCGAAGGCGGUUUCCUGGGCAGAUACUGACACUGAGGCGCGAAAGCGUGGGUAGCAAACAGGAUUAGAUACCCUGGUAGUCCACGCUGUAAACGGUGAGUGCUGGGUGUGGGAGGUGUAAUGCCUUCUGUGCCGAAGCUAACGCGUUAAGCACUCCGCCUGGGGAGUACGGCCGCAAGGUUGAA
rnacentral:rRNA from 1 species